AAGUCGUAACAAGGUUUCCGUAGGUGAACCUGCGGAAGGAUCAUUAAAAAUAUAGCAAACCGAGCGUCAGCGCGAGGUUUUGCGAUCAAAUUGUAUUUAAAACCCAACUCUUUGAAUCAAAUAUAUAUAUUAUGUAUUUUAAAUAUAAAGAUCACUUUCAACAACGGAUCUCUAGGCUCUU
rnacentral:misc_RNA from 1 species